UUAAACAAUCUCCGCUUUCCGUCUAUAAAACUAACGGCCAAUGUUUCCAUCUCCAUCUAAAGAUUUAAUGACAGUUUUAAUCAAAUCUAAAAUCUCCAAUUGUUAAAACCCUAAGAUUUGAAAUUUCCACGAUCUAAAACCCUGAUUUCCCGAAAUCCCCUCUUUCUACCCCAAAUGCCCGCUUCCAUGCAUCAACCGUAAUUAAAGGAAAGAUAUGUGAAUACGAAAUUGAUAUGAAGAAUUAUCGAACAUGAACGAUGGAGGUUUGCAUAAUAGAAAAGAACAGGAAAAAUCACAAAAACAAUCAAAGCCUUCCAAAUUCCGUAGCAAAAGUGACGAUUUUGCCCUAGCCAUCGCGAAGGUUGCAAUAGCGCAAGUUUGCGAAAGCGUAGGGUUUCAGGGUUCCCAACACUCUGCUUUAGAAACAUUAUCUGAUAUAAUUGUACGGUACAUUUACAGCGUAGGAAAAACUGCGAAUUUUAAUGCUAAUUUGGCGGGGAGAGCGGAAGCGAAUGUGUUUGAUGUUAUUCAAGGGUUGGAAGAGUUAGGAUCGGGUUUAGGCUUUGCCGGUGGAUCUGAUUUUGAUCGCUGUGUUGCUAAUUCAGUGAUUGCUAGGGAUAUUAUUCAUUUUAUUGGUGAUGCGGAUGAUAUCCCAUUUGCAUAUGAUGUUCCACGAUUCCCUCUUGUUAAAGAGUGGAAGGAAAUGGAAAGUUUAUGGGGAAAAGGAGAACAGCCUCCUGGGGAGCAUAUACCUAGUUGGUUGCCGGCCUUUCCUGACCCUGAUACUUAUGCUGCUCGGUUGAGUGUAGGGAAUGAAACAAACAGUAUUUCCAGUGGAGAGAAGACUGAGUUAGCGAGGGUUGAAAGGAAGAUGGAGCGGUCAUUGUUGAAUUUGCAGCAGCGGUUUGCUCGAAAUGGGAAUGAAGGAGGUUCUUCAAAUUAUGGUGGAUAUGCUGGUAGAGCUAGGGUAGCAUCUGAGAGCAAUCCUUAUCUUGCUGCACCUCUGCAUUUUGGGGAAAAGGAAGUGGAAGUUUCACCCGUUGUUCUUCCAGCGAAGCUUUCGAAUGAAGUGGCUUUGAGAAAUCCUGUUCCAGAAAAUUGUGAUAUGGGAAACCGUGUUUCGGUGCUGGAGACAUUUGCUCCUGCUAUUGAAGGAAUGACGAGUGGGUUAUGUGAUCUGGACAAUGGACAGAAAAAAGUUGUUUACAACCAGAGCGUGCAUUUUAAGAUUGGAAUUGGAAAGAAGUCUUUUGGCACGGCACCAUAUUUCAAUUCACAGAACGAGGAUCUUGAGAAGAUAGCCUCAUGGUUUAGAAAUGAUAAUGAGAAGGAUGACAAGAAAAGAAAAGCGGAAAAAAUUCUGAAAGAAUCUAUAGAAAGCUCUCAGAAACCGACUCAGUUGUAAGCUAGCUUUAUUAUCAUCCCUUCUGUUUGAUCAAAAAAAAAAAAAUCAUCCUUUCUAGACUUUUCUACAAUGGACCUAGAAAUGUACGGUGAAAACUACCACAGAGAAGUCUACUGCUUUGACAGCUUUCUAGAGGUAUGCACGUGACAGUUGCCAUUAUAGAAAUUUGUCAGUGGAUGAUUCUUUUUAAUUGAAAUUCUUGUUUCUUCUUUCGUGUUCUUACACUGAUCACGGAUUUAUCAGUUUCUGGCUGAAUCUGAUCUUCUUAUGUACACUAUGCGCACAAUUGUUGAAGCUUUGUACAAUAUCGUAUUAGCAUUUGUCAUUAAUGAAGGCAGAUAGUAUCGUACUGCCAAAAUGGUGACUUCGAAAUGGAGAGAAUACAUAUGUUAGUAUAUACAUAAGGUUGCAAUUUACAAGUAUUUCACAGGCUUUUUAAUUUACUUGGUGUCAUCAAGCUGCUGUCCUUUUGGUCUUCUAUCCUCUGGCGUACUUGGUGAGAGCCACUGCUUGGCGGGGAACAAGGUAGGAUUGACUAGAUGAUCUGACGGAUAAAGGUGGUAGGGCAAGAAGCAGGAGUCCAGCUCGCUGAGGAGACCUGAUGCCAACAUGACUUCAACAAU